rnacentral:rRNA from 1 species
CCAAGAAGGGGGGAACUCCGGGUCCCCUGGGAAUAUUCCCCUUGGCUUGGGACUCUGGUCCUGGGGGCCCCCCCCUAGACAAAAAACCUUUGAAUGCACCCCGCCGAACAAUAUAAUUACACUUUCACACGAUCCUGGUUCUGGCUCGAGAAAACCACGAAAGCGAAAGUAGGUGAAUGCAAAUCAGGAAUCUCAAUCUUGAACCACAUUGCGCCUUGGUAUCCAAGGCAUGCCUGUCAGCGCUUUGUACCUCAGCUUGCUGGGUGGGCGUCUGUCUCAACUUGCUGGAACUCGCUUAAGUAAUGGCAGCCGGCCUACUGGUUUCGGAGCGCAGCACAAGUCGCACUCUCUAUCAGCAAAAGUCUAGCAUCCAUUAAGCCUUUUUUCAACUUUUGACCCUCGGAUCAGUUAGGGAUACCCCGCUGGAACUUUUAAGCAUAAUC